rnacentral:tRNA from 1 species
GCCGCCUUAGCUCAGCCGGCAGAGCGACGCACUCGUAAUGCGUAGGUCAUCGGUUCGAUUCCGAUAGGCGGCU